rnacentral:piRNA from 1 species
UAUAAAAACAUUUGUUCACUU